rnacentral:lncRNA from 1 species
ACGCCCCCUGUCGUUACGACACGGCCGCGGCCGCUUUACGGCAGUGCGCGGUAACCGAGCGGCGGCGGCGGCGGCGGCGGCGACGGGCGAUGAGGCGGCGGGUCUUUCAGGCGAGUUACGUUCCCUGCCCGUGCUUCCCACUGCUCCCUGGAUCAGCCCCUCUCUGCGGGAGGUGAGAGCUCUGGCG